rnacentral:rRNA from 1 species
UAAGUAAGUGGUGGAAAUUAAACCAAAUGGGAUAUCUUUAGUAAUUGCGAAUGAACAAGGAUAUGCUUAGCUUGACAAAUGGAGCUAUUGGCUUUGAAUUGUAUUUGUGGAAUGUAUUACCAACAGAGGUGCGGGUGCCAGCCUAUUAAAUAAAGCGUCAAUGAGGGUGAGAAUCCUGUUUGUCAUGUGCAGCCCUUUGUGCACGGUGUAUAUUUGCUGAGUCACACUCCUUGGCAUUGGAAUGCAAAGUGGGUGGUAAGUUUCAUGUACAGGUAAACAUGCAAUUGAGACUGAUAGCACACAAGUACCAUGAGGGAAAUAUGAAAAGGACUUUGAAAAGAGAAUUAAAUGAGUUUGUAUUUGCUGAACACAAAGUAAACAGACUUGAUUUGCUUGGUGGGAGUGUUGCACUUGCUUGACAAGAGCUUUGGGCUGUGGGUGUAAUGAUUCUUUCUUUGCAUGCCAGUUUCUAUGUGUACAUCUGAUUACCUUUGCACAUGAAUGAUAAGUCUCCUGUGGGGGGUGGAUUGCAUGUGCAUGUAAUGAUUUGUGUUUUGAUAAAUGUGUCUGGUGUAUGUGUGUGUGUUCCUGUGCUUGGGGAUGCUUCCUUCCUUGGACUUACAAGCCCUGACACACACAUGCUGGCAAAAUGCUUCUGCUUGACCCG